CUCUUUAUGUGUGUGCGUGUGUGCGGAUGAACAAGUUUGGUACAAAGUAGCCCAAAGACCAGCUGCAGUACAGAUUAGAGAUUGUGUGGUUUUCUGGUUGACUGGAUUGUUUCUCAUCUUUAGCUGUUUCCUCUCUGACAGAACUCCUAUGUCUUAUCUGAGCGCCACAGCCUUUCAUGAAUCUUUAUAUAGCUCUGUUGCCAUGGGCAUCAUUGUGGAUACACAGCCUGACACUAACCAAGAGAAACGACAGAAAGAUAAUUCAGAGAAAAGACAAAGUUCAGACCAAAACCGCUGAAAGGGCAGGUGUAGUUCCUCAAUCAUCAAAACCAGCCUAAAUGGACUUGGACCAGCUAGAAAUAAGGAUCUAAUGUGAACUUCAGUAACCCACUUGCAUCUGAGAAACAGAGAUAGCGAGUGAGGUAGGUCUGCAUUUAUUCUGUGUAGAUCACAGAUGGAGGCACUGGAUGUCAUCCAGUCCUAUGGAAGUUGAGUAGACACAGAUAAGUUGAGCACAGGCAUAAUACUCUCUUUACUAUCAGGCCGCUCUGAAAUGAAUUGCCCCCCGGUCAUUCCCGUGGGCACAAUAAGGCCUUUUACAUUUCCUGAACACGCACUGGCACACAUGAUAACUCCCUGAUUGAAUUAGCUCAAUGCUAUAUGACUUCCUGUAUGGAAAGCAGAUGAAUUUGAAAUUCGUAUGUCUUAUGGCAACAGAGAUUCAUAAUUUCACAUCUCAGCAAAUAUCCAAGGAAGAAAAUCGCAAUACUUAAUGACAUCACCACACCCUGUUGCCAAAAACAAUAUUGUUAUCGAAACAAUGAGACAUACCAAUCCUGAUAAUCUUGACAUUUCACUGUGAACCUCCACACCUUCAUUGUAAAUCCUGUUGAGUACGAUGCAAUCUGUGACUGUCACGUUUUGCACACUAUUAACAGGCCACAGACAUCCUGAAAGACGGCUCGCUCUGAAAUACUGAAGUGUGCUUAGUCAUAACAGAGAAAUAAUGACUCAGAAACAUGCCGAUGAUAUUUUUCAGCACUUCAGUCAGCAUAUUGUGCCAAAGCCAUUCUGCUACACAUCGUAAUGUACGUUAUUCUUUUGUUUGAAACAGAUGCAGUGUAUGAACUGUUGUUAUUGAUCGUUACUUUUUGUUUGGAUGCU
ensembl:lncRNA